rnacentral:rRNA from 1 species
GAUGAACGCUGGCGGCGUGCCUAAUACAUGCAAGUCGAGCGAACAGACGAGGAGCUUGCUCCUCUGACGUUAGCGGCGGACGGGUGAGUAACACGUGGAUAACCUACCUAUAAGACUGGGAUAACUUCGGGAAACCGGAGCUAAUACCGGAUAAUAUAUUGAACCGCAUGGUUCAAUAGUGAAAGACGGUUUUGCUGUCACUUAUAGAUGGAUCCGCGCCGCAUUAGCUAGUUGGUAAGGUAACGGCUUACCAAGGCAACGAUGCGUAGCCGACCUGAGAGGGGGAUCGGCCACACUGGAACUGAGACACGGUCCAGACUCCUACGGGAGGCAGCAGUAGGGAAUCUUCCGCAAUGGGCGAAAGCCUGACGGAGCAACGCCGCGUGAGUGAUGAAGGUCUUCGGAUCGUAAAACUCUGUUAUUAGGGAAGAACAAAUGUGUAAGUAACUAUGCACGUCUGGACGGUACCUAAUCAGAAAGCUACGGCUAACUACGUG